rnacentral:rRNA from 2 species
UUACUUAAAGCGUAUGGAGGAUGCCUAGACUGAAGUAAGCGAUGAAGGACGUAGCAGGUUGCGAUAAGCCUCGGGGAGCUGCCAAGCAAGCUUUGAUCCGAGGAUUUCCGAAUGAGACAACUCUUCGCCGAUGAGGCGAAAUCAUUAACUGAAUUCAUAGGUUAAUGAAGCACACCCUGGGAACUGAAACAUCUUAGUACCAGGAGGAAAAGAAAACAAUAGUGAUUCCGCAAGUAGUGGCGAGCGAAAGCGGAACAGCCGACACUCUUUAGCAUUGAUCCAAUAGAAUGUCUCUGGAAAGAGCGACCAUAGAGGGUAAUAGUCCCGUAUAUGAACGAUUGAUGUGGAAAUAGGUGUGUCAAAAAGUAGGGCGGGACCGGAGAAAUCCCGUUUGAAGAUGGGAGCACUAACUUCCAAGGCUAAAUAUUACUUCAGAUCGAUAGUGAACUAGUACCGUGAGGGAAAGGUGAAAAGCAUCCCGAUAAGGGAGAUGAAAUAGUAUCUGAAACCAUACGCUAACAAAGAAUCAGAGCCCCGGCGCUUGCGUCGAGGUGAUGGUGUGCUUUUUGCAGAACGAGCCAACGAGUUAGUUUUAUAUGGCAGCGUAAGCCACUUUGUGGCGGACGCAUAGUGAAAGCGAGGCUUAACCGCCGCAUAUUGUCGUAUGGACUAGACCCGAAGCCAGGCGAGCUACAUAUGAGCAGGGUGAACUCCGAGUAACAUCGGGGGGAGGCCCGAACCCACUAGUCGUUCGACUCUAGGGGAUGACUUGUGUGUAGAGGAGAAAUUCCAAUCGAGCUUGGCAAUAGCUGGUUCUCUCCGAAAUAGCUUGAGGGCUAGCGUUCGGUAAAUGAGCAUGGGAGGUAGAGCUACUGAAUGAGGCCGCGCGGCUUGCCGUAGCGAUCUCAACCAAACUCCGAAUUCCCAUGUUUCUUAUCCGAGCAGUCAGAAAUCCGGCUCUAAGGUCGGAUCUCAAAAGGGAAAAAGCCCAGAUCAUAAUCUAAGGUCCCCAAAUUCAUGUUAAGUGGAAAAGGAAGUAAAGUUUCUCAAACACCUAGGAGGUUGGCUUAGAAGCAGCCAUCCUUUAAAGAGUGCGUAAUAGCUCACUAGUUUAGAGAUUUUGCGCCGAAAAUGUAACGGGGCUAAACAUGAUACCGAAGAUAUGGACUCCAGUGCAUGACACUGGAAUUUUCAAUUUUCAAUUUUCAAUUUUCAAUCAAUGAUUUAAUGACUUAAUUUUUAAAUUUAAUAAAUUAAGAAAUUAGAAAUUGUUUAGAAAUUAG